GACGAACGCUGGCGGCGUGCUUAACACAUGCCAGUCGAACGGAAAGGCCCUGCUUUUGUGGGGUGCUCGAGUGGCGAACGGGUGAGUAACACGUGAGUAACCUGCCCUUGACUUUGGGAUAACUUCAGGAAACUGGGGCUAAUACCGGAUAGGAGCUCCUGCUGCAUGGUGGGGGUUGGAAAGUUCGGCGGUUGGGGAUGGACUCGCGGCUUAUCAGCUUGUUGGUGGGGUAGUGGCUUACCAAGGCUUUGACGGGUAGCCGGCCUGAGAGGGUGACCGGCCACAUUGGGACUGAGAUACGGCCCAGACUCCUACGGGAGGCAGCAGUGGGGAAUAUUGCACAAUGGGCGGAAGCCUGAUGCAGCAACGCCGCGUGCGGGAUGACGGCCUUCGGGUUGUAAACCGCUUUCGCCUGUGACGAAGCGUGAGUGACGGUAAUGGGUAAAGAAGCACCGGCUAACUACGUG
rnacentral:rRNA from 1 species